rnacentral:rRNA from 1 species
AGCGAACGCUGGCGGCAGGCUUAACACAUGCAAGUCGAGCGGGCACUUCGGUGUCAGCGGCUGACGGGUGAGUAACACGUGGGAACGUACCCUUUGGCUCGGGAUAACGCUGGGAAACUAGCGCUAAUACCGGAUACGCCCUUUUGGGGAAAGGCUUGCUGCCGAAGGAUCGGCCCGCGUCUGAUUAGCUUGUUGGUGGGGUAAUGGCCUACCAAGGCGACGAUCAGUAGCUGGUCUGAGAGGAUGCUCAGCCACACUGGGACUGAGACACGGCCCAGAAUCCUACGGGAGGCAGCAGUGGGGAAUAUUGGAAAAUGGGCGCAAGGCUGAACCAGCCAUGCCGCGUGAGUGAUGAAGGCCUGAGGGUUGUAAAGCUCGUUUGUCCGGGACGAUAAUGACGGUACCGGAAGAAUAAGCCCCAGCUAACUUCGUG